GUGGAGCAACCACUGGUAUUCCAGCAUAUACAAGGAACAGGACAGAGGACACCAUAUGGAGCUUCUGCGACCCCAGGGGCCAAGACCUAUGGAAGUUCUACCACCUCCCACACCCGCCAGGCCACCCAGACGGGGUCCAGGAGACCCAGAUGUGCUCGAUUCCCAGUCACUCAUGCCUUAAAAGCAUCUGUGG